rnacentral:lncRNA from 12 species
CAAAAAGAGCCGUGGGGCAGCUGGCUGCCCCUUUAUGGUGCACACUGAUUUCUGGUAUUUCACUUACAGGAUUGUGAAGCAGAAGGGGAUAAGAAAGCAAGCAGAGAAUGUUUUUUCAAAUGGUGGAACCAGCUAAGGCAGGUCUGUCGUGGAAAGCAAGAUGGAGGGGGAAUGUGUUGGCAAACAUAAGCAGCAGCGCCACUGCAGCCCCUUCUCCUUUCCUUUGGAACGCACCACAGCUGGAAUGGACAUGGGGCUGUCAGUACUUGCAUCAGCUGCCUGCCUCUGAAGGCUUUUCCCUAGGCUCUGCUCCAGGGGGUUUCUCGUUUGUAAGUGCUCCUGCUUUGUUUAGCAACAGGAAUCGCUGGACACGAAUAUCUUAGGGACAGACUCCUCUGUUU